rnacentral:rRNA from 1 species
GAUGAACGCUGGCGGCGUGCCUAAUACAUGCAAGUCGAGCGAACAGAUGAGAAGCUUGCUUCUCUGAUGUUAGCGGCGGACGGGUGAGUAACACGUGGGUAACCUACCUAUAAGACUGGGAUAACUCCGGGAAACCGGGGCUAAUACCGGAUGAUAUUUUGAACCGCAUGGUUCAAUAGUGAAAGACGGUUUCGGCUGUCACUUAUAGAUGGACCCGCGCCGUAUUAGCUAGUUGGUAAGGUAACGGCUUACCAAGGCGACGAUACGUAGCCGACCUGAGAGGGUGAUCGGCCACACUGGAACUGAGACACGGUCCAGAGUCCUACGGGAGGCAGCAGUAGGGAAUCUUCCGCAAUGGGCGAAAGCCUGACGGAGCAACGCCGCGUGAGUGAUGAAGGUCUUCGGAUCGUAAAACUCUGUUGUUAGGGAAGAACAAAUUUGUUAGUAACUGAACAAGUCUUGACGGUACCUAACCAGAAAGCCACGGCUAACUACGUGCCAGCAGCCGCAGUAA